rnacentral:rRNA from 1 species
ACUCCUACGGGCAGGCAGUAGGGAAGAUUUUCCGCAAUGGACGAAAGUCUGACGGAGCAAUGCCGCGUGAGUGAUGAAGGUUUUCGAAUCGUAAAGCUCUGUUGUAAGGGAAGAAUAGCAAGAAUAGGAAAUGAUUCUUGUCUGACGGUACCUUACCAGAAAGCCACGGCUAACUACGUGCCAGCAGCCGCGGUAAUACGUAGGUGGCAAGCGUUAUCCGGAAUUAUUGGGCGUAAAGCGCAUGUAGGCGGCUCUUUAAGUCUGAUGUGAAAGCCUGUGGCUCAACCACAGAAUUGCAUUGGAUACUGGAGAGCUAGAAUCUUGGAGAGGUAAGUGGAAUUUCAUGUGUAGCGGUGGAAUGCGUAGAUAUAUGAAGGAACACCAAUGGCGAAGGCAGCUUACUGGACAAGUAUUGACGCUGAGAUGCGAAAGUGUGGUAGCAAACAGGAUUAGAUACCCUGGUAGGCUCUG